UACGUAGGGGGCAAGCGUUGUCCGGAUUUAUUGGGCGUAAAGAGCGUGUAGGCGGCCAGGUAGGUCCGUUGUGAAAACUGGAGGCUUAACCUCCAGCUGUCGAUGGAAACCAUCUGGCUAGAGUCCGGAAGAGGAGAGUGGAAUUCCUGGUGUAGCGGUGAAAUGCGCAGAGAUCAUGAGGAAGACCAGUGGCGAAGGCGGGUCUCUGGACAGUUCCUGACACUGAGACACGAAGGCCAGGGGAGCAAACGGG
rnacentral:rRNA from 1 species